UUAAUAUUAUUUUAAUUUUAUUUAUUAUUAAUUUAGGUUUUUAUUAGAUUAUUUUAUUUAAUUUUUUAUUAUAAGUAAUAAUGAUGGAAUCAGUAGUUUUGUAUAUUUAGAUAUAGUAACUCGGCAAAUAUAGUCCUCGCCUGUUUAACAAAAACAUGUCCUUUAGAUUUAUUAAUUUAAGGUCUGACCUGCCCAGUGAUUUUAAACGGCCGCAGUAUUCUGACUGUGCGAAGGUAGCAUAAUCAUUUGUCUUUUAAUUGAAGGCUUGAAUGAAUGGUUGGACGAGGGACUAGCUUUCUUUAUCUAAUUUUUAUGAAUUUGAUUUUUGAGUUAGAAAGCUUAACUUAUUUU
rnacentral:rRNA from 1 species